AAUCAGUUAUCGUUUAUUUGAUAGUACCUUACUACUUGGAUAACCGUGGUAAUUCUAGAGCUAAUACAUGCUAAAAACCCUAACUUCGGAAAGGGUGUAUUUAUUAGAUAAAAAACCAAUGCCCUCCGGGGCUCUUUGGUGAUUCAUGAUAACUUAACGGAUCGCAUGGCCUUGCGCCGGCGACGGUUCAUUCAAAUUUCUGCCCUAUCAACUUUCGAUGGUAAGGUAUUGGCUUACCAUGGUUUCAACGGGUAACGGGGAAUUAGGGUUCGAUUCCGGAGAGGGAGCCUGAGAAACGGCUACCACAUCCAAGGAAGGCAGCAGGCGCGCAAAUUACCCAAUCCCGACACGGGGAGGUAGUGACAAUAAAUACUGAUACAGGGCUCUUUUGGGUCUUGUAAUCGGAAUGAGUACAAUUUAAACCUCUUAACGAGGAACAAUUGGAGGGCAAGUCUGGUGCCAGCAGCCGCGGUAAUUCCAGCUCCAAUAGCGUAUAUUAAAGUUGUUGCAGUUAAAAAGCUCGUAGUUGAAUCUUGGGCCUGGCUGGCCGGUCCGCCUCACCGCGUGUACUGGUCUGGCCGGGCCUUUCCUUCUGGAGAACCUCAUGCCCUUCAGUGGGUGUGUUGGGGAACCAGGACUUUUACUUUGAAAAAAUUAGAGUGUUCAAAGCAGGCCUUUGCUCGAAUACGUUAGCAUGGAAUAAUAGAAUAGGACGUGCGGUCCUAUUUUGUUGGUUUCUAGGACCGCCGUAAUGAUUAAUAGGGAUAGUCGGGGGCAUCAGUAUUCAAUUGUCAGAGGUGAAAUUCUUGGAUUUAUUGAAGACUAACUACUGCGAAAGCAUUUGCCAAGGAUGUUUUCAUUAAUCAGUGAACGAAAGUUAGGGGAUCGAAGACGAUCAGAUACCGUCGUAGUCUUAACCGUAAACUAUGCCGACUAGGGAUCGGGCGAUGUUUCACUAUUGACUCGCUCGGCAC
rnacentral:rRNA from 1 species